ensembl:snRNA U1 U1 spliceosomal RNA
AAAAUUACCUGGAAGGAGCGAUACCUGGUCACGAAGGAGGUCUUCCCAGGGCAAGGCUCAUCCUCUGCUGUCAGAUGUGCUCACCCCUGUGGUUUCCCAGAAUGUGAGAAACUCAACUGAUCAUGUGGUAUUGUAUCGUCCGGGACUGUGGUCAGUGUUGUA